GUUUCUCCUUUUCUCUUUCCUUUUAAAUAUCGUCAAACUAUUCACCUCUUAUAUUUUCUUCACCUCUUUAGUUAAGCGUUUGGGUUUGGCAACGAGUUGGAGGAAAACUUGAUAACCAGGUGAUAGAGACGAGUGUUGAAGUCAUUAUUAACUUUGAAGAGGAUUCAUUACCCAAUAUCACCGUCCCUUCCCCAAACAAAGGAACUCCGAGAACUCAGUAAAACACCCUAUUUUAGGAUCAUCAAACCCACUUCAGAGGUCAUCCUUCUUUCUCCAUCUACCAUCUUCCCACAAUCCCACAAUCAACAAAAUUGUGCAUUUUCAAGCGUUAGACGACAGAGAGGACGAAUAGAUCAGGAAAAUGAUACAAUGAUGUUCUGGGUUUCUGAUGCUGGCCGCAACUUGAGACGGGAUAUGAUACCAUGUAAAUUUUUAGAUGAUUUCCUUUUCAUGCAUUCUCUGGGUUUUCAUUUUUGUGGCUAGUACUUUAUUGCAAUUAUUAAUAGUUUAGGACCACGACUAACACUACUUCGUGGAAAUUUCAUUUAAGAUUCAUUUCACCGGUGAGUUACGGUGUUUCAUUUUUCAUAUAUGAAGCGACCAGCUUAAUGUUGAUAAUAUGCGUGAUAAUAAAAAAUGAUGAUUCUGUACUCA